rnacentral:rRNA from 1 species
UGGAGGUCCGUUGCGGUGUUGACGUGCAAAUCGCUCGUCAAAGCUGGGUAUAGGGGCGAAAGACCCAUCGAACCAUCUAGUAGCUGGUUCACUCCGAAGUUUCCCUCAGGAUAGCUGGAACCAAUAAAGGAGUUGCGCCAGGUAAAGCGAAUGAUUGGAGGCAUUGGGGAAAUCUCUUCCUCGACCUAUUCUCAAACUUUAAAUGGGCGCGAACUUGGGGUUUCUUCAUUGAACCCUGACGCAGAAUCCUGGUUCCAAGUGGGCCACUUCUGGUAAGCAGGACUGGCGACGCGGGAUGAACCGAGAGCUGACUUAAGGUAUCCGAGUGGUCGCUCAUCAGAUCCCACAAAGGGUGUCGGUUCAUCUAGACAGCAGGACGGUGGCCAUGGAAGUCGGCAUCCGAUAAUGAGUGUGUAACAACUCACCUGCCGAAUGAACCGGUCCCGAAAAUGGAUGAUGCUCAAGCGAUCCACCCAUAGUCGGCCGUGCUCCGGUAUUGAAAAGCCGUGGCAUGAGUAGGAGUGCGUGAUCCACGCCGCGAAGGGGUUGGCGUGAGCCUCCCUGGAGCGUGGAUGAGUGCAGAUCUUGGUUGUAGUAGCGAAUAUUCAAUGGAGAACAUUGAAGGCCGAAGUGGAGAAGGUUUCCGUGUCAACAGCAGUUGGACACGGGUCAGUCGGUCCUAAGGCAAGGUGUAAUUGCUCGCCUCAAAGCCAUCAUGGCCCCUCGGGGACGUGUGGGUUUGCCGAAAGGGAAUGCGGGAACAUUCCGCAACCUGGACACAGAGAACUGAAGUGGCAACACAGUGACAAUCCUGGCAACCGUGCCCGUUGGCCCCGGAUGAUGUAGUCGUCUCUUUUUGAAGGACUGGUUGACCCUUGAAGCACUUCGCGUGGGGACAGGGUGAACUAUCCUGGAAAGGUGCACUUUUCUUGUGCGCUAGGGUGUCUAGCGGGUGCGCAUGGAAAAGCCAGGGGAGAUCUCUUUCUCUUGUGCCAGGCCGUACCGUUAACCGCAAUAGGUCUCCUAGGCUAAAAGCCUCUGGCCGACAGAACAAUGUAGGUAAGGGAAGUCGGCAAACUAGAUCCGUAACUUCGGGAAAAGGAUUGGCUCCGAGGGCACCUACAGAGGUCGGUGUAGUUUGUGUGGGGGUCCAGACUAAAGCAAUUGCAGCGAGCACCCUCGGGAGUUCGCUGCGAAUGUGGCCGUCUUCUCUGCACUGCUGCAUGUCUGUCUUUGUAAUGAAGUGUCAACUUGGAACUGUUACGAACAAGAGGAAUCCAACUGGUUAAUUAAACCACAGCAUGUCGCUUCAUCACAGCGGUGGCGAGUGGCAUGUGACUUCUGCCCAGUGCCCUGAAUGUCAACGCUGAGAGAUCAGGUCAAGCGCGGGUAAACGGCGGGAGUAACUAUGACUCUCUUAAGGUAGCCAAAUGCCUCGUCUUCUAAUUAAAGACGCGCAUGAAUGGACCAAUGAGAUUCCUUCUGUCCCUACCUACUAUCUGGCGAAACAGCAGUCAAGGGAACGGACUUGAAACUGU